rnacentral:rRNA from 1 species
AGGGUGAACGCUGGCGGCAGGCCUAACACAUGCAAGUCGAACGGCAGCGGGUCAGUAGCAAUACUGAUGCCGGCGAGUGGCGGACGGGUGAGGAAUACAUCGGAAUCUACCUUGUCGUGGGGGAUAACGUAGGGAAACUUACGCUAAUACCGCAUACGAACCAUGGUUGAAAGCGGCGGACCGCAAGGCGUCGCGCGGAUUGGAUGAGCCGAUGUCCGAUUAGCUAGUUGGCGGGGUAAAGGCCCACCAAGGCGACGAUCGGUAGCUGGUCUGAGAGGAUGAUCAGCCACACUGGAACUGAGACACGGUCCAGACUCCUACGGGAGCG